UAGUUUUGUGUAACGCACGACCAUCUCAAAAGAAGAGAUUUAGUUUUUAAACACUACAAGGUUAAAAUGAUGACCAGUCGUGCCUCUCUUUCUCCUCCAUGUAUCCAGCAACUCUCACAUCUUGCCCGGUGAUAUCUCCGUAUCAAGCUGGUUUCCAAAUCAAUCUGCCAAAUCGCUUCGCCUCGCCUCGCACAAUUGAUUUUUUGCAGAUCUCUGUGUAAACUACCCAGAGCAGCCACAGGUCAAUGGAUGCAAAGUAACGAGAUUGAGAUGAUGAGAUCGAUAUGCCCUAGCAAAUACAACAAGGAUACCACCGGAUAGUUAUAUAUGGACGAGGAACAAAGAAAAAGCAACGGGACCGUGCUUUCCGCAAUACUUAUAUGCUAGAUGAUUGUCUUCUUUUCUAAAAAAAAGUUGAUAGUCAGAGACAACUAAAAUAGUUAUCACCGAUCUUCGAAGUACCGUUGGCAUCCAAGUUCGAGAGACAGUGGGCAAGAACAUGAGCAUCAUCAUGUGCGCUAUAUUCAUCCACGUCGGCGUCAUGAUGGUCCAGAAUGUGAAUAACAUUAGCGGCCGUCACUCAGCAACCUAAAGAUUGUGCUGGCAGCGUGCACAUUGGAUUUGCAACCAUUUGCGAGGUCGACCAGAGCAGCUUGCAGUCACAUCCUCGGCAGGGCCUUGGUCCUCCGUUUUAGUCUCAUGGUUGGAGCCGUCCCUAGAGAUUGAAGCCGCCACCGUAGGAAGAAUAGCGUUGGCCGCAACCAAAAGUCCUGUGGGGAGCAGUCGCUAGAUCGACGCUGGGGAAGCACGAGCACGUGCAUGACUGGGUGGAAGCAAUUGGCAACAUGCAAGCCUCCACGACCUUGCCGACUCCGUUCUACAACUCCCUACACUCCAGCGUUGUCCAAAUCGAACGCUGAUAUUGGACACCUCAAAGAUGAGAAGUCUCGGGUACUAUGGAGAAAUGAGUCUUCAUUAUUUUUUCCGUGAAGAAAUGAGGGAUAUGAAUACAAGAAAUUGUUGCAUGUACAUAUGAUUGACACACAUGUAGAUAAUAAAAAAUAAACAUGUGCUAGCAACAGUGCGAAUGUACAUUGUGUCCAUGUUAGAUGUAAAUAGCAUGGAUAUUUAGUGUAAAAGUUUUUUCUAACCCAAGUCAAAUAUGCAUGCACAUGUAUAUGUACUCACACAUAUUAAAAUAUCAUGUAAUAGGAAAUGCACCAUAUUUC